CCCUGGCUAGCUCAGUUGGUAGAGCAUGGUGAGUCUUAAUCCCAGGGUUGUGGGUUCGAGCUCCACGUUAGGCA
rnacentral:tRNA from 1 species